rnacentral:rRNA from 1 species
GGGGAAUUUUGCGCAAUGGGCGCAAGCCUGACGCAGCAACGCCGCGUGGAGGAUGAAGGUUUUCGGAUUGUAAACUCCUGUCCCGGGGGAAGAAGGCAGUGACGGUACCCUGGGAGGAAGCCCCGGCUAACUCCGUGCCUGCAGCCGCGGUAAUACGGGGGGGGCGAGCGUUGUUCGGAAUAACUGGGCGUAAAGGGCGCGUAGGCGGCCUGGGCAGUCCUGGGGGAAAGCCCCCGGCUCAACCGGGGAAGGGCCUGGGAAACCACUGGGCUGGAGUGCUGGAGAGGGAGGCGGAAUUCCUGGUGUAGCGGUGAAAUGCGUAGAGAUCAGGAGGAACAUCGGCGGCGAAGGCGGCCUUCUGGACAGACACUGACGCUGAGGCGCGAAAGCCGGGGGAGCAAAC